rnacentral:rRNA from 1 species
GACGAACGCUGGCGGCGUGCUUAACACAUGCAAGUCGAACGAUGAAGCUAGAGCUUGCUCUGGUGAAUUAGUGGCGAACGGGUGAGUAACACGUGAGUAACCUGCCCCGAACUCUGGGAUAACUGCUGGAAACGGUAGCUAAUACUGGAUACGACCUACGAAGGCAUCUUCUGUAGGUGGAAAGAAUUUCGGUUCGGGAUGGACUCGCGGCCUAUCAGCUUGUUGGUGAGGUAAUGGCUCACCAAGGCGACGACGGGUAGGCGGCCUGAGAGGGUGACCGGCCACACUGGGACGGAGACACGGCCCAGACUCCUACGGGAGGCAGCAGUGGGGAAUAUUGCUCAAUGGGCGCAAGCCUGAUGCAGCAACGCCGCGUGAGGGAUGACGGCCUUCGGGUUGUAAACCUCUUUUAGUAGGGAAGAAGCGAAAGUGACGGUACCUGCAGAAAAAGCACCGGCUAACUACGUGCCAGCAGCCGCAGUAA